rnacentral:lncRNA from 1 species
GGAAGCUCAUCAAGAUAGCUUCCCUCAUAGGACAUUUGAAGUAAUCUACCUAACCUAGUAGCAUUUAGGACAAUUUUAAUACCUUUUACAAUUGAUCUUAGAAUUCCAUCAGUAAACACUAGGUUUGAGUAAAAUUCUUUCACCAGGUCUAUGUAUACCAGCUCAGACAAGCUACAGAAGAACCUCCACCCUUGAUUAAUUAUCUUUUCACCAAUUGAAAAACUAUCUCUUCUCAAGAAUCAAAAAUCUACAUUCCUCCCUAAAGCAACUUUUCUAGCAGAGAGAGGAACCUUACUUUGUGUCCUGGGAAGAGAGGCAUGAGCAGGGAUCUGAGCUGUCCUCUUUCUUCUUUCUUCUGCUUUCAGUGGCCUUACUGAUUUCUUUCUUUGGGACAGUCGCAUCUUGGAAGCCAUUGUUGCAAUAAGGGCCAAGGAACCAAUCAAGAGAGGAAUAUAGGGUGAAGAGUUAAUGGAAAUGAAGAGAAAUGAGGGAUUGAGAGGUGUUUGAUUAGGAUUUUUAAAAUGAGGGUUUCAAGGGUUUUAGUAAAGAGCGUGAAAGAGUGGGUUUUGAUCAAGGAUAGGCC